ACGAACGCUGGCGGCGUGCUUCACACAUGCAAGUCGAACGUGAUUUUUGUGGAAAUUCUUUCGGGAAUGGAAAUGAAAUGAAAGUGGCGAACGGGUGAGUAACACGUGAGCAACCUACCUUACACAGGGGGAUAGCCGUUGGAAACGACGAUUAAUACCGCAUGAGACCACAGAAUCGCAUGAUAUAGGGGUCAAAGAUUUAUCGGUGUAAGAAGGGUUCGCGUCUGAUUAGCUAGUUGGAAGGGUAAAGGCCUACCAAGGCGACGAUCAGUAGCCGGUCUGAGAGGAUGAACGGCCACAUUGGAACUGAGACACGGUCCAAACUCCUACGGGAGGCAGCAGUGGGGAAUAUUGCACAAUGGGGGGAACCCUGAUGCAGCGACGCCGCGUGAGCGAAGAAGGUUUUCGAAUCGUAAAGCUCUGUCCUAUGAGAAGAUAAUGACGGUAUCAUAGGAGGAAGCCCCGGCUAAAUACGUG
rnacentral:rRNA from 1 species